ACGUACGAUCACUGAAGUUAAACAACGUUGGUCCUGGUCAGUACCUAGAUGGGUGACCGCUUGAGAAUACCACGUGCUGCAAA